rnacentral:rRNA from 1 species
GACGAACCGUGCGAACGUUGUUCGGAUUCACUGGGCUUAAAGGGCGCGUAGGCGGCGGCUCAAGUCGGUGGUGAAAUCCUUCCGCUUAACGGGAGAACUGCCUUCGAUACUGGGUCGCUGGAGGGAGAUAGGGGUGCGCGGAACUUCCGGUGGAGCGGUGAAAUGCGUAGAUAUCGGGAGGAACACCAGUGGCGAAGGCGGUUGCCUGGAGCUUUGCUGACGCUGAUGCGCGAAAGCGUGGGGAGCGAUCCGG